UGCAAGUCGAGCGGUAACAGAUCUAGCUUGCUAGAUGCUGACGAGCGGCGGACGGGUGAGUAAUGCAUAGGAAUUUACCCGAUAGUGGGGGAUAACCUGGGGAAACCCAGGCUAAUACCGCAUACGUCCUACGGGAGAAAGGGGGCUUUGGCUCCCGCUAUUGGAUGAGCCUAUGUCGGAUUAGCUAGUUGGUAGGGUAAUGGCCUACCAAGGCGACGAUCCGUAGCUGGUCUGAGAGGAUGAUCAGCCACAUCGGGACUGAGACACGGCCCGAACUCCUACGGGAGGCAGCAGUGGGGAAUAUUGGACAAUGGGGGCAACCCUGAUCCAGCCAUGCCGCGUGUGUGAAGAAGGCCCUCGGGUUGUAAAGCACUUUCAGCGAGGAAGAACGCCUGUCGGUUAAUACCCGGUAGGAAAGACAUCACUCGCAGAAGAAGCACCGGCUAACUCCGUGCCAGCAGCCGCGGUAAUACGGAGGGUGCAAGCGUUAAUCGGAAUUACUGGGCGUAAAGCGCGCGUAGGUGGCUUGAUAAGCCGGUUGUGAAAGCCCCGGGCUCAACCUGGGAACGGCAUCCGGAACUGUCAGGCUAGAGUACAGGAGAGGAAGGUAGAAUUCCCGGUGUAGCGGUGAAAUGCGUAGAGAUCGGGAGGAAUACCAGUGGCGAAGGCGGCCUUCUGGACUGAUACUGACACUGAGGUGCGAAAGCGUGGGUAGCAAACAGGAUUAGAUACCCUGGUAGUCCACGCCGUAAACGAUGUCGACCAGCCGUUGGGUGCCUAGAGCACUUUGUGGCGAAGUUAACGCGAUAAGUCGACCGCCUGGGGAGUACGGCCGCAAGGUUAAAACUCAAAUGAAUUGACGGGGGCCCGCACAAGCGGUGGAGCAUGUGGUUUAAUUCGAUGCAACGCGAAGAACCUUACCUACCCUUGACAUCUACAGAAGCCGAGAGAGAUCUUGGUGUGCCUUCGGGAACUGUAAGACAGGUGCUGCAUGGCUGUCGUCAGCUCGUGUUGUGAAAUGUUGGGUUAAGUCCCGUAACGAGCGCAACCCUUGUCCUUAUUUGCCAGCGAGUAAUGUCGGGAACUCUAAGGAGACUGCCGGUGACAAACCGGAGGAAGGUGGGGACGACGUCAAGUCAUCAUGGCCCUUACGGGUAGGGCUACCACGUGCUACAAUGGCCGGG
rnacentral:rRNA from 1 species